GACGAACGCUGGCGGCGUGCUCAACACAUGCAAGUCGAACGGAGAGGCCCUGCUUUUGUGGGGUGCUCGAGUGGCGAACGGGUGAGUAACACGUGAGUAACCUGCCCUUGACUUUGGGAUAACUUCAGGAAACUGGGGCUAAUACCGGAUAGGAGCUCCUGCUGCAUGGUGGGGGUUGGAAAGUUUCGGCGGUUGGGGAUGGACUCGCGGCUUAUCAGCUUGUUGGUGGGGUAGUGGCUUACCAAGGCUUUGACGGGUAGCCGGCCUGAGAGGGUGACCGGCCACAUUGGGACUGAGAUACGGCCCAGACUCCUACGGGAGGCAGCAGUGGGGAAUAUUGCACAAUGGGCGGAAGCCUGAUGCAGCAACGCCGCGUGCGGGAUGACGGCCUUCGGGUUGUAAACCGCUUUCGCCUGUGACGAAGCGUGAGUGACGGUAAUGGGUAAAGAAGCACCGGCUAACUACGUG
rnacentral:rRNA from 1 species